AUGGAGCCGCGGCCGCGCCCGGUGGCCGUCGCCGUCAACGCGCUGCUCUGCGUCCUCUCUCUCUGCGUGUCCGCGGCCGAGGCCGAGAACGUGACCACCUACGACGCCAAGAACUUCGGCGCUAAAGGCAACGGGGUCGACGACGAUACCAAGGCGCUGGUGGCGGCAUGGAAGAAAGCGUGCGGGACGCCUGGCACGGUGACGCUGGUUAUCCCGCCGGGGACCUACUACAUCGGGCCCGCGCAUUUCCACGGUCCCUGCGAGGCCCUCGCCAUCACCUUCUUCCUCCAGGGGGUGCUCAUGGCGGCAACGGAUCUGAAGCGUUUUGGCAAUGACUGGAUUGAGUUCGGGUGGGUGACAAACCUCACCGUGGUCGGCCAGAACGGCGGCGUCAUCGACGGCCAGGGCGCCGCCUCCUGGCCAUUUAACAAGUGUCCCGUCCGAAAGGACUGCAAAGUCCUUCCCACCAGUGUGAUGUUCUUGAACAACCAGAAUACGGUGGUGCGUGACAUCACGUCGGUGAACAGCAAGUUCUUCCACAUCGCGCUGCUGCACAACAACAACAUGAGGAUGAGCAACCUCCGGAUCCACGCGCCGGAAAACAGCCCCAACACGGACGGCAUCCACAUCGAGCGGAACACGGGCGUGAUCAUCUCCGACUCCCGCAUCGGCACCGGCGACGACUGCAUCUCCAUCGGCCAGGGGAACCACAAUAUAUACAUCGCCCGUGUCCACUGCGGCCCGGGCCACGGCAUGAGCGUCGGUAGCCUCGGCCGCUACGUCGGUGAGGGCGACGUCACUAGCAUCCACGUCACCGACAUGACCUUCCAGGGCACCAUGAACGGCGUCCGCAUGAAGACGUGGGAGAACUCCCCUACCAAGAGCCUCGCCGCGCGCAUACUGUUCGAGAACAUGGUGAUGAAGGACGUGCAGACCCCCAUCAUCAUCGACCAGAAGUACUGCCCUUACUACAACUGCGAGCACAGGUACGUCUCCGGGGUCACCAUCGAGGACAUCAAGUUCAAGAACAUCAAGGGGACGUCGACGUUGCCCGUGGCCGUGCUGCUCCGGUGCGGCGUGCCGUGCCGCGGCGUCGUGCUGCAGAACGUCGACCUCAUCUACAACGGAAAGGCAGGCACCUUGUCACACUGCGAGAACGCCAAUGCCACCUACGUUGGCUACCAGCACCCAGAGCCAUGCGCCUAG
rnacentral:rRNA from 1 species